GUAGUACUCCCUCCGUCCGGAAAUACUUGUCAUCAAAAUGAAUAAAAGGGGAUGUAUCUAGAUGUAUAAUAGUUCUAGAUACAUCUUUUUUAACCAUUCCGAUGACAAGUAUUUUCGGACGGUGGGAGUACUUG
rfam:Triticum aestivum genome assembly, contig: Triticum_aestivum_CS42_TGACv1_scaffold_457996_5DS